rnacentral:rRNA from 1 species
GUCUACGGCCAUGCUACCCUGAACAAGCCCGAUCCUGUCUGAUCUCGAAAACUAAGCAGGGUCGGGCCUGGUUAGUACUUGGAUGGGAGACCACCUAGGAAGACCAGGUGCUGUAGGCA